UGGGGAAUUUUGGACAAUGGGCGAAAGCCUGAUCCAGCAAUGCCGCGUGUGUGAAGAAGGCCUUCGGGUUGUAAAGCACUUUUGUCCGGAAAGAAAUCCUUGGCUCUAAUACAGUCGGGGGAUGACGGUACCGGAAGAAUAAGCACCGGCUAACUACGUGCCAGCAGCCGCGGUAAUACGUAGGGUGCAAGCGUUAAUCGGAAUUACUGGGCGUAAAGCGUGCGCAGGCGGUUUGCUAAGACCGAUGUGAAAUCCCCGGGCUCAACCUGGGAACUGCAUUGGUGACUGGCAGGCUAGAGUAUGGCAGAGGGGGGUAGAAUUCCACGUNUAGCAGUGAAAUGCGUAGAGAUGUGGAGGAAUACCGAUGGCGAAGGCAGCUCCGUAGGCCAAUACUGACGCUCAUGCACGAAAGCGUGGGGGAGCAAACAGGAUUAGAUACCCUGGUAGUCCACGCCCUAAACGAUGUCAACUAGUUGUUGGGGAUUCAUUUUCCUUAGUAACGUAGCUAACGCGUGAAGUUGACCGCCUGGGGAGUACGGUCGCAAGAUUAAAACUCAAA
rnacentral:rRNA from 1 species